rnacentral:rRNA from 1 species
GAUGAACGCUGACAGAAUGCUUAACACAUGCAAGUCGAUGGGGAAGUGGUGCUUGCACCAUGGUAACCAUGGCGGACGGGUGAGUAACGCGUAAGGAACUUGCCUGCGGGACUGGGAUAACAGCAGGAAACUGCUGAUAAUACCGGAUAAGGUCAUUAAGCUGCAUAGCUUAGUGAUGAAAGGAGACGCCUGCGGAGAGCCUUGCGUCCUAUUAGCUAGUUGGAGGGGUAACGGCCCACCAAGGCGAAGAUAGGUAGCCGGCCUGAGAGGGUGGACGGCCACAAGGGGACGGAGAUACGGCCCUUACUCCUACGGGAGGCAGCAGUGGGGAAUAUUGGACAAUGGGGGCAACCCUGAUCCAGCAAUUCUGUGUGCACGAAGACGGUUUUCGGAUUGUAAAGUGCUUUCAGCAGGGAAGAAGGAAGUGACGGUACCUGCAGAAGAAGCGACGGCUAAAUACGUG